rnacentral:rRNA from 1 species
AUUGAACGCUGGCGGCAGGCCUAACACAUGCAAGUCGAACGAGUGGCGGACGGGUGAGUAAUGUCUGGGAAACUGCCUGAUGGAGGGGGAUAACUACUGGAAACGGUAGCUAAUACCGCAUACCAUCAGAUGUGCCCAGAUGGGAUUAGCUUGUUGGUGGGGUAACGGCUCACCAAGGCGACGAUCCCUAGCUGGUCUGAGAGGAUGACCAGCCACACUGUGACUGGGACACGGUCCAGACUCCGACGGCAGGCAGCGUGGGGGAAUGUAGCACAAGGGGCGAAAGCCUGAUGCAGCCAUGCCGGGUGUAUGAAGAAGGCCUGCGGGUUAGAAAGAACUUUCAGCGGUGAGGCGUUACCAGCAGAAGAAGCACCGGCUAACUCCGUGCCAGCAGCCGCGGUAAUAC